GGGCUUCUAAGAUCCAACACUUACCUCUUGUCAGAAGGAGAAAAAGCAUAAUCUUACUUCCUUUCCUUUUCCAAUUUUUUUUUCUCCUUGCGAGGACUCCACCUUUUAGAGCUAAUUCACCGAGAGAAAAUGAGUGGAGAAGGAAAGGUGGUCUGUGUGACAGUAGGGUCUGGUUACAUAGCAUUCUGGCUAAUCAAAUUCUUGCUUCAAAGAGGCUACACUGUCAAAGUCACUGUUCGUGACCCAAGUAAAUGUCUCCCAACCUUUCUGUUUUUUUUGCCUAUUACAAGCUCAGUUGGGUCAUUUAUGAACCUUAGUUUCUUUGAAUGAGGUUCAGCUUUUAAAUUCUGGUUUCUGGGUUUUAUUUUACACUGACUCUGGUUGUGCCUGUGCGGCUGUGGAUGUAAUUUUUUAUGUUUUAGUUCUGGGUUUGACUUAAUUUCUUUUUCCAAGUAAUAAAAUCUCAAGGGAAUUUAAUUGCUCUGGUAUUGUUGAUUAUUGACAAUUUUAUAUCAUCCUGCAAUUUGCUUGUUAAAGAAUGAAUUGAGUCAGCCCUCACUUUGGUUAAGUAGCCACAUGACUUAAUUUUUCAUGUAUCUUUAUUAUAAACAAACGGAUGAAAUUAGUACCAAUCAAGGAGGGAGAUAUAUGAGUGAAAUUUUACUGAACUGAUGUGAAUCUUAAAUUAGUUUGCUUGUUAUAUUGUUUUUUUCAAUAGAACAUUCAGUGUUGUCAUUGGAUUCAUUCUUCAGCUCUUUGAAUCUGUGUUCUGUACCUCUGAUGAUCUGAAGAAAACAGCACACUUGCUUGCUCUUGAGGGAGCCAAGGAAAGACUUCGCUUGCUCAAAGCUGAUUUAUUGGAAGAAGGAUCUUUUGAUGCUGCAGUUUAUGGGUGUGAAGCUGUUUUCCACACAGCCUCCCCUGUAUCUCUUAAAGCCAAUGCCGACCCUAGGUCCAUCACCUCCAACAACCUUUUCACUACCUCAUUCCAAUUAAUCUUGAUAUGUCAAUAGUUUUCUUCCUUUUGGCACCAAAGUUGCAAUUGCUUACUGUUCUAUUGAUUUGGCAUUGCAUUUUCUCUGAUUCUCUCUUGUAAUUCAUACACUAUAUGUUUCUUUAUUUUUAAAUAUCUUCUUCAUUUGAUUAUGUUGACGUAAUUACUGCUUGAUAGGCUUAGUGUCGUAUAAGAUAUAACUGUUCAUAGUAGACUAUUUCUAUGUAUCAGGUAGAACUGGUUGAUCCUGCAGUGAAGGGAACACUUAAUGUUCUUAGAUCUUGUGCAAAAGUGCCUUCUAUCAAGAGAGUGAUUGUAACAUCUUCAUUUGCCACUGUUCCUUACAGUGGAAAAACUCUCGCCCCUGAUGUAAUUGUUGAUGAGACUUGGUUUUCUAACCCAGCUGUUUGUGUGGAACGGAAGGUUCGUCUACUAUUAUAACUGUCCUCAUUAUCCCUGAAAUUAGUAACUUAAAAGAAGAUGAAAAAGGGAUAUGACCAUCACGGUCUGCCCUUGAGCACAUCAAUCUUGAUUACUUCUCAAUUUAUCCGUCCCAAUUGGAUCUUGUGAGUUAUACACUUAAAUCGACUUGAAUUUGAUACCUUAAUUAGUAUUUUGUUUAUGAGAUAAUUUGGCCUUUUGUUUCUCCACCUUUGGUAUCAACUUGGAAAAACGUUGGCUGAGCAGGCUGCUUGGUAAUUUGCAAAAGACAACGGGAUGGAUUUGGUAACAAUAAAUCCUGUGUUUGUCCUCUGUCCUCUUUUGCAGCCAACUAUUAAUCACUCUGUGGGGAUGCUUUUGAACCUCAUAAAUGGUAUGCUCCAGCAACUAUUUAUGAUAAAUAUAAGCUAUCUUCCAUGUAAAUUUUAAGUAUUUAAUGUUGGCUUCACCUUGACAAAUUUCUGGACUCUCAUAUGAUGACAUGUCCAUAUGAUUACCAAAUAGCUUGAAAGUUUUGCCUUAGUUUAACCACACAAUUUUACAUGAUUUCUUGGGGAGCAAUUGAUCGAUUUUUUUUUUUUUUUAAUUGCAGGAGCUCAAGAGUAUUCUGAUGCAUGGUAUAGAUAUGUUGAUGUAAGAGAUGUUGCAUAUGCACAUAUUCAAGCUUUGGAGAUUCCUUCAGCUUAGUGGCAGAUAUUGUUUAAUUGAGAGAGAUCUUCACUUCUCUGAGGUUCUGGAAGAUUGUGCAUCAACAUUAUCCUACAUUGCAACUUCCAGAAAAGAGUGGCCCUGGAUUGAAUUACUUAACAAAGUAUGGGAUAUCAAAGGAAAAAGCGAAAACUUUGGGUAUUGACUCCAUUCCUUUGGAGGUGAGUUUGAA
rnacentral:misc_RNA from 1 species